UUUGAGACUCCAGUUAAUUUUUUCAAACUAUUCACACUUCUCCAACAGUUAUAUAUUAAGAAUUUUAGAUUAGGUCACUUAGCUUGGAUGAAUCAGGAUUUACAUACCAAGAAGUACUGAAAUAAGCAUAUCAUGAAGAAAGGGCAGAAAUGAAAUAUCAUCACUUAACUUAACUUCUACUCUGUGUAUAUAGAGGAGCUUUGAUUUCCAGCAAUAUAAUGAGAGUGGAUCUUUGAUGGAUCUGAUAAAAAAACCGAGAACAGCAGAAGCAAUGUUGAAUGUUGAUUAAGUUGAAGAAGUUGAAGGGCAACUCUCCUUUGGCGGAUCAUCGAUUAGGGACCUGCCAAAAGGAGAGAAGCCCUACCACUAGUUCACUUAAUAAUAUUAACUGUACUGUAUUAGCACCACAGAGUACCGAGUUACUGACCCUUCCACUCCAUAUGGUUGAUGAAAGAAAUUCACAGACGAGGCAUGUAUAUAUAGUAACAGCUAGAUAGGCUUCGAGGGCUAAGGAAGAGAAUAAACCAAGGACAAGAAUAUGCUCAAGGAUAUCCUCUUUUUUUGUUAGGGUGGUUUCUUUCUUUGGCCUGUUUUCCACGCCAUUAAUCCUACUAUUAUGUUAUUUUGAAGGUGGGUUUUGAGGGGUUAAAUGUAAGAGAGAAGAAAGAAGAAGAAGAAAGGAGGCUAAUUGGGUAUUGUGGUGUUUUCAGAGGUAUUAUUCCAUGUCCUCCAUAUGAUAUAGACCACACUCUCCGGCCCUCUUCUUCUUCAGCUCUCUGAAUCAUCUCUCUGUGUUCCCAAGGCAGAAAGAAGAGAUGCUACUUUUUCGCUAUAGUGAGUUUGAGUUAAGGUGGCAGCAACUUCUAAUAUGCUAGCUGCGUCUCAAAGGUAUAUCCC
rnacentral:lncRNA from 1 species